rnacentral:rRNA from 1 species
UACGGGGGGGGCAAGCGUUGUUCGGAAUUACUGGGCGUAAAGGGCUCGUAGGUGGCCAACUAAGUCACACGUGAAAUCCCCAGGCUUAACCUGGGAACUGCGUGUGAUACUGGAUGGCUUGAAUCCGGGAGAGGGAUGCGGAAUUCCUGGUGUAGCGGUGGAAUGCGCAGAUAUCAGGAGGAACACCAAUAGCGAAGGCAGCUCGCUGGGACGUUACUGACACUGGGGCGCGAAAGCGUGGGGAGCGAACAGG